rnacentral:rRNA from 1 species
UACGGGGGGGGGCAAGCGUUGUUCGGAAUUACUGGGCGUAAAGGGCCUCGUAGGCGCCAACUAAGUCAUACGUGAAAUCCCUCGGCUUAACCGGGGAACUGCGUCUGAUACUGGAUGGCUUGAAUCCGGGAGAGGGAUGCGGAAUUCCAGGUGUAGCGGUGAAAUGCGUAGAUAUCAGGAGGAACACCGGUGGCGAAGGCGGUUCUCUGGGCCUUACCUGACACUGAGGAGCGAAAAGCGUGGGGGAGCGAACAGG